rnacentral:rRNA from 1 species
UACGGAGGAUGCGAGCGUUAUCCGGAUUUAUUGGGUUUAAAGGGUGCGCAGGCGGGCUGUUAAGCCGGCGGUAAAAAUUCAGGGCUCAACCCUGUCGAGCCGUCGGAACUGGCAGUCUUGAGAUGUCGAGAGGUAUGCGGAAUGCGCAGUGUAGCGGUGAAAUGCUUAGAUAUUGCGCAGAACUCCGAUUGCGAAGGCAGCAUACCGGCGGCGAUCUGACGCUGAGGCACGAAAGCGUGGGGAGCAAACAGG